rnacentral:tRNA from 1 species
GCUCAGGUGUUGGAACUGGCAGACAAGCAGGAUUUAGGUUCCUGUGCCUUCGGGCGUGAGGGUUCGACUCCCUCCCUGGGCACCA